rnacentral:rRNA from 1 species
CGUAUCACCCAAGACAACUUUGCGGAGUUGACGAUUGACGGAGCGAAGCGACGUCAAAGCGUUCAUUAAAGUCGAGUUGGCUUAGGGAUACGUUCGUUGGGUAGGGGAGCGUUCUGUAAGCCUGUGAAGGUGGCCUGUGAGGGUUGCUGGAGGUAUCAGAAGUGCGAAUGCUGACAUAAGUAACGAUAAAGCGGGUGAAAAGCCCGCUCGCCGGAAGACCAAGGGUUCCUGUCCAACGUUAAUCGGGGCAGGGUGAGUCGACCCCUAAGGCGAGGCCGAAAGGCGUAGUCGAUGGGAAACGGGUUAAUAUUCCCGUACUUGGUGUUACUGCGAAGGGGGGACGGAGAAGGCUAUGUUGGCCGGGCGACGGUUGUCCCGGUUUAAGCGUGUAGGUGUGUGUUCCAGGUAAAUCCGGUUCACUUUAACACUGAGGCGUGACGACGAGGCACUACGGUGCUGAAGCAACAAAUGCCCUGCUUCCAGGAAAAGCCUCUAAGCAUCAGGUAACAUCAAAUCGUACCCCAAACCGACACAGGUGGUCAGGUAGAGAAUACCAAGGCGCUUGAGAGAACUCGGGUGAAGGAACUAGGCAAAAUGGUGCCGUAACUUCGGGAGAAGGCACGCUGAUAUGUAGGUGAAGCGGUUUACCCGUGGAGCUGAAAUCAGUCGAAGAUACCAGCUGGCUGCAACUGUUUAUUAAAAACACAGCACUGUGCAAACACGAAAGUGGACGUAUACGGUGUGACGCCUGCCCGGUGCCGGAAGGUUAAUUGAUGGGGUCAGCGCAAGCGAAGCUCCUGAUCGAAGCCCCGGUAAACGGCGGCCGUAACUAUAACGGUCCUAAGGUAGCGAAAUUCCUUGUCGGGUAAGUUCCGACCUGCACGAAUGGCGUAAUGAUGGCCAGGCUGUCUCCACCCGAGACUCAGUGAAAUUGAACUCGCUGUGAAGAUGCAGUGUACCCGCGGCAAGACGGAAAGACCCCGUGAACCUUUACUAUAGCUUGACACUGAACAUUGAGCCUUGAUGUGUAGGAUAGGUGGGAGGCUUUGAAGCGUGGACGCCAGUCUGCGUGGAGCCGACCUUGAAAUACCACCCUUUAAUGUUUGAUGUUCUAACGUGGACCCGUAAUCCGGGUUGCGGACAGUGUCUGGUGGGUAGUUUGACUGGGGCGGUCUCCUCCUAAAGAGUAACGGAGGAGCACGAAGGUUGGCUAAUCCUGGUCGGACAUCAGGAGGUUAGUGCAAUGGCAUAAGCCAGCUUGACUGCGAGCGUGACGGCGCGAGCAGGUGCGAAAGCAGGUCAUAGUGAUCCGGUGGUUCUGAAUGGAAGGGCCAUCGCUCAACGGAUAAAAGGUACUCCGGGGAUAACAGGCUGAUACCGCCCAAGAGUUCAUAUCGACGGCGGUGUUUGGCACCUCGAUGUCGGCUCAUCACAUCCUGGGGCUGAAGUAGGUCCCAAGGGUAUGGCUGUUCGCCAUUUAAAGUGGUACGCGAGCUGGGUUUAGAACGUCGUGAGACAGUUCGGUCCCUAUCUGCCGUGGGCGCUGGAGAACUGAGGGGGGCUGCUCCUAGUACGAGAGGACCGGAGUGGACGCAUCACUGGUGUUCGGGUUGUCAUGCCAAUGGCACUGCCCGGUAGCUAAAUGCGGAAGAGAUAAGUGCUGAAAGCAUCUAAGCACGAAACUUGCCCCGA